AACGAACGCUGGCGGCAUGCCUAACACAUGCAAGUCGAACGAGACCUUCGGGUCUAUUGGCGCACGGGUGCGUAACGCGUGGGAACCUGCCCUUAGGUUCUGAAUAACUCCCCGAAAGGUGUGCUAAUACCGGAUAAUGUCUUCGGACCAAAGAUUUAUCGCCUUUGGAUGGGCCCGCGUUGGAUUCGCUAGUUGGUAGGGUAAAAGCCUACCAAGGCGACGAUCCAUAGCUGGUCUGAGAGGAUGAUUAGCCACACUAGGACUGAGACACGGCCCAAACUCCUACGAGAGGCAGCAGUGGGGAAUAUUGCACAAUGGGCGAAAGUCUGAUCCAGCAAUGCCGCGGGAGUGAUCAAGGCCUUAGGCUUGUAUAGCCCCUUUACCCGGGGUGAUAAUGACAGUACCGGGCAAAUAAGCUCCGGCUAACUCCAUG
rnacentral:rRNA from 1 species